rnacentral:rRNA from 1 species
GUCUUCUUGAUAGAAUAAGAAGUCUGACCUGCCCAGUGAAAUAUUUUAACGGCCGCGGUAUAUUGACCGUGCAAAGGUAGCAUAAUCAUUAGUCUUUUAAUAGAGGGCUGGAAUGAAGGGUUUAACGAAGUACUUACUGUCUCAUUUAAUUUGAUAUUAAAAUUUACUUUUUCAGUCAAAAAGCUGAAAUAUUAUUGGAAGACGAGAAGACCCUAUAGAGCUUUAUAUUUAAUUAUCUAAUAAAUUUUUGGAUUAAUUAUUAUUUAUUAUUUAAUAAAAUAUUUUGUUGGGGUGACAAAAAUAUAUAAUUAACUUUUUUAUUUAUAUAACAUUGAUAUAUGAAAAUUAGAUCCAGUUUUACUGAUUAUUAGAAUAAGUUACCUUAGGGAUAACAGCGUAAUCUUCCUUUAGAGUUCAUAUUCACAGGGAGGCUUGCGACCUCGAUGUUGGAUUAAGAUUAUAAUUAGGUGUAGCCGCUUAAAAAAUAGGUCUGUUCGACCUUUAAAUUCUU